GUCAUGGGAACCUCAACUUAAUAGCCAUAAGCCAGAAGGUGACAACCUACUACUUGGAGCUGACAUCUGAAGUGAUGGCUGUCUUGCGAGACUGUCCUUUACCCUGUGGAAACUGAUGCUAUCUCCAGGAUUUGUUUAAGAUGGACUAAUAAUGAAAAUACUUCAGAUACUAAAAGCACACAAGCACAUUUUCUCCAGUUUGAACAAAUUUUGUGAAUAACCUGGUUGUACUAGUCACUUCUUGAAGUG
rnacentral:lncRNA from 1 species